AAGUAGGCUUAUAAUUAAUCAUUCGAAAUGACAGGCGAGGUACUAUGUGGGAAGAUUGCAAAAGAACACCCAAUAAUUGUGCGAUUUCAAUGAUUAAGCUCGAAAUAUAUCAGUACAGUAAAAUCACGACAUCGUCAAUUUCAAAGCAGUGUGUGGUGUCUGCACACUGGUGAAAAUCAAAAAGGCGAAGAUAUAAAGGAAGAGAAUCUAAGUCAACUGCAUUUUGAAUUUAUGGCAGCAUCAACCGUGAGGGUUUACAGGGUUGCUUCAACAUCGUCUACAUUUUUCGAUAAGCUCAACGAACUCACCAUACUGGCCCUGGGCUAUACCGGAUCCGAGAUCUCAUUAAUCGCAGGAAAGCUUCGACUGUGGUGAUUUUUCCGACGACUGCCGAACUGAUCGAUGAACCAUACCGUUCGGAUGUGGUCCUAAAAACUGCAGAGUGUGUGGACCACCAAAGCCCCUGUCCGUUUCGUUGUCUGGAGUUUCUCGAAGUUUAUCUAUCUGGAAGCAGGACUCCAUAGGACUGCACAUGACUUUAUUAAAUGUUCGUCGCUGUUGAGUUUAGAUCUUACUGUUGCUUAACAAAUUCUACAAAUAAACACAUCUAAACGAGUGCAAUAUACCUUUGCACUCCACGAUUACCUGGUAUAA